rnacentral:misc_RNA from 1 species
AAGACUAUAGACCUGCGGAGUACCUGCGGAAGGAUCAUUAACGAAGAAAUGGUGGGGUUGAUGCUGGCUCUUCGGAGUAUGUGCUCGCCUUAUCGCUUUUUCUACUUCUCCACCUGUGCACCUAUUGUAGAUCGUGUUGGAAAUCCUUUGUGGUUUCUCGUUCAUUUUUGAACGGUUCAGAGGUCUUGCUUUCUUGGCUAGACUUCGACUCUUCACGAUCUAUGUUAUAUCAAACUCUUA